GUUUUUAAAAUCAAAGCAUUUUUUUGCAUUGAGUACUUUUACUUUUAAUACAUAAAAUAUAUUUUCCUGACGAUACUUAGAUACUUUUAAUGAAUUAACAUUUUCAAUGCAGGACUUGUACUGUAACAGAGUAUUAUUGCAGUGAAGUAUAGUACUUUGACUCAAGUAAAGGAUCUGAACACUUGUUCUAACACUAGUGACCACUAGGCUGCGCUGUGUUGUGGUGCUGGUCUCAGUCACUUUGGAUGAACUUUCAUCACGUGGUGGCAUGGCAGUAGACAAACAUGGCUGACAG